rnacentral:rRNA from 1 species
GGCGAACGCUGGCGGCGUGCUUAACACAUGCAAGUCGAACGGAAAGGCCCUGCUUUUGUGGGGUGCUCGAGUGGCGAACGGGUGAGUAACACGUGAGUAACCUGCCCUUGACUUUGGGAUAACUUCAGGGAACUGGGGCUAAUACCGGAUAGGAGCUCCUGCUGCAUGGUGGGGGUUGGAAAGUUUCGGCGGUUGGGGAUGGACUCGCGGCUUAUCAGCUUGUUGGUGGGGUAGUGGCUUACCAAGGCUUUGACGGGUAGCCGGCCUGAGAGGGUGACCGGCCACAUUGGGACUGAGAUACGGCCCAGACUCCUACGGGAGGCAGCAGUGGGGAAUAUUGCACAAUGGGCGGAAGCCUGAUGCAGCAACGCCGCGUGCGGGAUGACGGCCUUCGGGUUGUAAACCGCUUUCGCCUGUGACGAAGCGUGAGUGACGGUAAUGGGUAAAGAAGCACCGGCUAACUACGUG